rnacentral:snRNA from 1 species
GUGCUCACUUCGGCAGCACAUAUACUAAAAUUGGAACGAUACAGAGAACAUUAGCAUGGCCCCUGCGCAAGGAGGACACGAAAAGUCAUGAAGCGUUCUGUAUUUUU